CCUACGGGCGGCAGCAGUGAGGAAUAUUGGUCAAUGGCCGUAAGGCUGAACCAGCCAUGCCGCGUGAAGGUCAGUGCCCUAUGGGCGUUAAACUUCUUUUGUGCGGGAGCAAUAAUGGUCACGUGUGGCCAGCCGAGAGUACCGUACGAAUAAGCAUCGGCUAACUCCGUGCCACAAGCCGCGGUAAUACGGGGGAUGCACGCGGUAUCCGGAUUUAUUGGGUUUAAAGGGUGCGUAGACGGGAGUGCAAGUCUGGAGUGAAAGGCGGGGGUUCAACCCCCGGACUGCUGUGGAAACUGUACGGCUGGAGUGAAGGAGAGGUAAGUGGAAUGCCUGGUGUAGCGGUGAAAUGCGUAGAUAUUAGGAAGAACACCAAUGGCGAAGGCGGCUUACUGGACUGUAACUGACGUUGAGGCUCGAAAGCGUGGGGAGCAAACAGGAUUAGAUACCCCUGUAGUC
rnacentral:rRNA from 1 species